AGAAUCAACGCUGGCGGCGUGCCUAACACAUGCAAGUCGAACGCGAAAGGGGAGCAAUCCCUGAGUAGAGUGGCAAACGGGUGAGUAACACGUGGGUGACCUGCCUUCGAGUGGGGGAUAACGUCCCGAAAGGGACGCUAAUACCGCAUGACAUCCUGCUCUUGGACGAGCGGAGAUCAAAGCUGGGGAUUCGCAAGAACCUGGCGCUUGAAGAGGGGCCCGCGCCUGAUUAGCUAGUUGGCGAGGUAACGGCUCACCAAGGCUACGAUCAGUA
rnacentral:rRNA from 1 species